rnacentral:rRNA from 1 species
GUUGAAACACUGGUUCUAUACAAUCACCAAAGUUAAGCAAUGUUGAUCCUGGUCAGUACCUAGAUGGGUGACUGCUUGGGAAUACCAGGUGCUGUAAG